GACGAACGCUGGCGGCGUGCUUAACACAUGCAAGUCGAACGGAAAGGCCCUGCUUGCAGGGUACUCGAGUGGCGAACGGGUGAGUAACACGUGGGUGAUCUGCCCUGCACUUCGGGAUAAGCCUGGGAAACUGGGUCUAAUACCGGAUAGGAGCCAUUUUUAGUGUGAUGGUUGGAAAGUUUUUUCGGUGUAGGAUGAGCUCGCGGCCUAUCAGCUUGUUGGUGGGGUAAUGGCCUACCAAGGCGGCGACGGGUAGCCGGCCUGAGAGGGUGGACGGCCACAUUGGGACUGAGAUACGGCCCAGACUCCUACGGGAGGCAGCAGUGGGGAAGAUUGCACAAGGGGCGCAAGCCUGAUGCAGCGACGCCGCGUGGGGGAUGACGGCCUUCGGGUUGUAAAAUCCUUUCGCUAGGGACGAAGCUUUUUGUGACGGUACCUAGAUAAGAAGCACCGGCUAACUACGUG
rnacentral:rRNA from 1 species